UUCACCACUUCGGUGAGACCCAGAAACCUUCCUUGGGUUUCUUUAUGACCAGCGGCUGAUUUGGAUCCUUUAGGAGCUCUGGAUGGCCUCCUCCUUCCCCCAAAGAAGAGGCUUCCUCCACCUACGGCUGGCUUCUGGACUGUUGCCCCUUCCCGUGCAAAGGGCUUGAGGGAAUGGAAUGUACCCUCCAUCCGUUUCAAAACCCACCCUUGUUACUGCUGUUGACGGCUGGGCCUCAUUAAGGAGACCAGGCUGGGAGAUGACCUCUUACAGCCGGACAGCGUGUGGUCUGUCAGGUGGACGAAUGGAUCCCGGAGUCACCAGCUUGUAGCUGUUUGGGACUCAUGCCUACAGCGGGCUCACCCCGCCUCCACGCACCUUCACCAGUUCCGGUCUUCCCGCCCUUCACCCCCAGCCUGAGCUUCGAAACAACACUGGAAGCGGAUUGUCAGAACUGUCCCCGUUUCCAAAGAGGAAACAGCCUGAGCGAGACGAAAAGGCUCACACCCACGAUGGAGCAAGCAGGGAAACCAUGUGUGUUGGACAUCUACUUCAUGGCAACAGCUUGCCAACAUCCUCUUGCAGAAUUCUCAGCACCGGGCUAUGAAGAAUGUGUGUUCACCUCCCCAUUUGACAGAUAGGAGUGGACGGCUUAAGGAGAUGUAACAUACACAUUUUGUACAAAAGAGGGCUAAAGCACAGAGUCCCAGAACACCGACUAGACACUGUGGUUUGGCC